UCGUCCUCUCCUCAUCUCCUCACUUCCCCCCGCUCCUCAUUCCCCUAACCCUAGCCCAUUCUCCACGUCGCCGCCACCACCUCCCGUCCCCUGGCGCCGCCACCACGCCCACUCGCCGUCGCUCCUUCCCCUCCUCCCCGCCCUCUCGCUGCUCAGCAAGAGGAGCACGGCUCGCCGCCGGCCCUCACGCACCGCCUCCCUCCUCCUCUCCUCCUCCGCGUCGGGACCGGCUAGGGUUCGCACUCUCUCUCUCCCUCAGAUCUCUCUCCCGCCGCCGCCACGCUCCCUCUCUCCGGCAUGAGCCUCCAACUGUACUAUGUCCUGACCAGGAUGAUUUCAUUAGAGAGUGGAGCGGGGAGCCGGAGAGCGAGCCUCUCCUUUCAGUGCCGCUGUCACUGUCGCUGUCGAGGGUUCUAGUGCACGUGGCGGGGGUUCAUUCUAAUUCGUCCCUGCUCUGCUCUGGCGGCCGGGUUUAAAUCGGCAGCGGCGGUGGCAUCAGGUGGCCCUGAAGUAGGAGGUAGAUUGUGGUGGCGUUCAGGGACUCGCUCAAGGUGCUCGAGGUUGACAUCCAGCAUGCGAACACCCUGUUUGGAGCGUGUGUUGUUCACCAUGUCGUGAAUUCAUCUCUGGCGGUCUGCCACAGGCCGUCCGAGUGCUCGAGGGACUACGACAGGGCGUGCCUGCAGAUGCGCAUGUCCUACAGCCCCGCCAUGCACAUCUUCCUCUUCAUCAUGAAGUGGACCAACUGCAGCCUCGCCGGCACGGUCGGCCUCCUCAGGAUACUCUUGUCCAUCUGUCAGCUUAUGUGGACGGCACCACCACAAUGUCCACCCAUGAAAGGAAGGCCAGCAUCAGGGAGAUAAACGCUCUGUACAUAACUGAAAACAAUAGCAGAUGUUCUCACUAUGGUAAACGCUUUGUUCAUCAAUUCGUGUGCAGGUAUGGACCUGUGAUGUUUUUGACGCCCAUUGGGCCAUUACCUCAUGGAUGUGUAUUUUGUGUGUGCCAGCUUGCCAGUUAGUGAGUGGUGGAUAAUAUCCAUAUGCAUAUUUCAUUAGUGUAGCAUGUGAUCAGCAAUAGACAACUCUUGUGCGCUUAUAAAAUGAUGAUUCUAUUGAUUUUUUGGGAUUUUGCAAUUCCUAUGGAAUUAAGAGCCCAUGUAUUGGCCUAUCCCUGUUUAUUAUUUUUGGUGCACUUCCAUUUCAUAAUUAAAGCAGUACACAAUUAUGUAUGAAUGUUUCAACAGAACUAGAAUUAGUAAACAGCUGUCUGCAAAAGAUACUAGCUACUUCAUUUUUGGCCUACCUUUUGGGCAAUGCCAUCUCCACAGAUCUGAGCCCAAUUUUUUGAAUAUACAUUCCAUCCUUAUUUUGGGACUAUUGUUCGCUGUGACUUUUUGGCAGUGUCGCUUCCAUAGGUCUGAAGGAAAUUUUUUAAUACAUGUAAGAUAUACAUCAUUUUUUUGUUCUUUGAACUGUUGUUCAUGCCAUAGGUUACUUUUAAGUUCGCUUUGCCCACCCACAGUUUUGGUUUAUGGUGGACCUUGGAGUUGAGAAGCUACAAUUUUAUUGACGCUCAAGAUUUCAUAAAUGGCAUCUGCAGAACAUCUGAAAGAAUUUUGAAGUGUGUAUUUUGUUUCAAUUUCAUUCGCUCUUUCUUUAUCUUCAGUUCUUCAGUCUAGCUUAGAGGUAGAAGAUUGUUGUCUAAGUCUAUCAAUAUUGCUCAAUAUCCCAACUUAAUUCAACCAUUGUUUGUAUCACUUUCCUGAACGCCAUGAAGUAAUUUAUUUUCCGGAGCUGCUUUAUUUAUUCCAUUACUUCUCUUCUGGAUUUGGCCGGAGUCCUUUGCUUAAAGCUCUUGCCCCUGAUGGAAAAAAGUUCAUGCUUUUCAUUUGCUUCAUUUAUAUGUUACCUUGUGAUUUUUUGUUUGACUCUUCUUGACCAUUCACAUUUGAUGUUUAGAUAAUUAUAAUCUCUACUCAUGUAACCUUUCCAGUCCUUGUGUAGUCAUUAUUUCCCCCUCUUUUUUUGUACGUAUAUUCAUAAUGUUCGUGCAUAGUUUCAGAAGUGAACACUAAGUUCUUCGUUCACUAGAUUUUAUUUAAUGUUUCAUGAACAUGGUCCGGUUUUCACCUUAGGUUCAGUUACAUGCACUGUUUUCCGAUCUAUGUCGCUCUAUGGGAUGCAUUUUUUUUCAGUUCUCCUUUUUGUUCUUGUGCAAUUUUUAUAUCUGGGAUCAUAACACUCACUCUUUUUCGUGUGUAAUCGGUGGUCAUCCAGAAAAUACCAAAGGAAGACCGGUGGGACUAUGGUUUGGUGAGCGGAGCUUUACUAGGACUGAGUAUGACGAAGAAGCAUGGAUGCAAGAAAUUUCCCCUGAAAAUAGGACUUGAGGUUGGUACGGAUGUCCUACUUAUACUCAAGGCGAACGUUGGUGAUUAUCUGUACAUGAUAGUUUGCCUCCAUGACCAUCGAGCGGUUCAUAGGUCCUCAUUGAGGUUAUCUUCAGUUCAUUAGUUUUCAUCUCUGCUAUUUUAGCUCUUUUGUGAGGGUCCAAUUUGCUGACCGCCUUAGAAGAAACACACUUCCAACUAUUUCUAAAGCUAUUAGAUCAAAAGAUUAAGUAACUUCUGUUGUUAUGAUGAUAAAGAAGCUCUUGGGAUAUUGAAGUAUGCCAAGAAACUAUUGGCUCCUUUUAUCAUAUAGAUUGUCUCUCCUAUUUUCACAACUGGUCUAGCUUGCCUGAUUGUUCCUCCAUAAUGUAGAGAAGUUUUUAAUAUGCCAUUGUCAAAAUAUCUUAUGUCCUUCCUGUUUUGUAGUGGCAAAGAAACAGGGGCAAUUCCCCAAUAUUAUGUGCUUAUUUCUGCAGUACUUCAUAUGCAACAGUUCUACUAAUGUUUAAUGAUUCUGGGCACUGCUUUGAGAGAAAGCAUGUAUCAAAUUUUCUAUUUCCCUGGUUUUCAAUUCGUUUCAUGCUUCCAUCUCUUUAGCUCAGUACCAUUACUAUCUUCAAGAUGAGUUUUUCUCAUCCAAUGGAAGAUGGAUUUAAGAUAGAAAUGUGCAUUUAACCAUUUAUCGUGUUUCUUCCUUGAAAUGUUAUGCAUAAUGCUUUUCUCUUGUCCUAAGACUUUUUUUACUUCUUGCCAAUUGGUUUGGUGUUUCAUAGUCAUGCGUCAUCUUUUUUCCUCUGUUGACACCACAAUAAAAAAAUCGGUAUUGAUAUAUUCUAAAUGCAUUUAGAUUGUUUGAUUUUCAGUUCAAUUUUGUGUUCCUUCGGACAGAUUGGUCCUAUAGGGUAGGUAGACUUGAUGUUGGUAUCUCCGUCCAUCACUGCCAUCAAAUUAAAAUGGAUUAGUUUGUGUUCCUUCAGAUAGAUUGGUCCUAUAGGGUUUCAGACUGAAUUAGGGCCAUACAGUGACAUAAUGAAAUCACGUGAGCUGACUUUGCCCAUAACUACUGAGCUAUAACACAAAUUUGUAGGCGCCUUACAAUAUGAUAUUUUUUUAUAAUUUCAAAAUUACGAAGUGCACUUAAUUGCAGAUGAUGUGCCUUAUGGAAGAACUGAGCACUCAUAUUUUGUACUUAGAAUUUAGAAUUAUGCUUUUGGUUGGUUUAGUUCAGUAAUACUACUUGAAGUAGCCUUUUGAAAAUAUAUCUAAGAAGACCGGAGUACUCAUUCAAAGUGUUCUUGUAUUAACAUUCAUAUAUAUGUAGCUCUGAUAAGUGUUGGUGGGUUUAGUUUUCCAAUACAAUAGCUGAUGUUUUCUGUAUAGAAUAAGAUGGAACUAAACAUAUCCAAUGUAGCAUUCGGAAUUACUCAACUUUGACAAGCUUCAACAUAUUUAACUUUACAAUACUCCCUCUGUCCCAAAAUAAGUGUCGCUGAUAUAGUACAAAGUUGUAGAAUAAGUGACACUUAUUUUGGGAUGGAGGGAGUACUGUAUAAUUGAUCUUGCUUUCUUAGAAUAGCAUGCAAACCACCAUAUUUCCUAUUUGAUAAGCAUAUGAUAUUUACUGUUUAACUCUGAACUAGAAAUAACAUGCUUGGAGGUCGCUGUCUACCAUCUCUCUCUGACUGCCCCUCCUCCCAUUGACAUGGCAUGCUGGUCACCGUUGUGUCUCCCGCUGGCUUGCCCCUCGCCAUCGUCGGGAGGGUUUUGUGGGCUGUUCUGCAUUGAAAUCCAUAUAACUUUGAAAAGGUCACCACCGUGCCGUCUCUCUCUCUCUGACUGCCCCUCCCAUCGUCUUGGUUUGCUGGAUGCCGUUGUGUCCCCCGCCAGUUCGCUCGUCGCCAUCGCUUGAUGGGUUGUGUAGGCUGCCGCUCAUGCAAUUGCUCUGCAGUGACCAGUGAGGACCAUGGCAUCGAGACAGCCCAAAAGGGAAACACCGCCGACCACCGCACCGGUGGAGGCCUCCCUGUCUGCCGGCAACUGGAUACCACCGCUUGUGAAAGGGGGCAUCACCAUGAUACAUAGAUGUGGAUGACAUUGCUCAAAGGUGUUCUCUCAUUGUCGCACUACUGGCCACCUCUCCUCUCCAUAGCGCUCAAUUCCGUGACAGGAGCCUGUUUUGUGUGCCGCACGGCUAUCCCAAAGGUGUAGCUGUCGUUGUACAGAGUUGUACUUCCUUGCCGAAAACCUCUACAAUUCUGUAGUGUCAGCUAUGACCUGGAUAGAGGUGUUUAGACUCCCUAAGAUGGCACAUGUCACUGAGGAGACGUGAUCUCCGAGCAGCCCUUCUCAUAGCUCGCAGUCCAGGUCGAUGCCAAAUUCAACUUCGAGGAGGCUUUUUGUGCUGUGGCUGCAGCAUUAAGCAUUUGAAUGGAGCACAUAUAGGCAUGCCCCGGUUCAUUUUAGAGUCACUUGGUUGUUUGAUGCGUUUGUGCUCGUCGGCGGGACGGUGCAAGGCGCAACUCCGACGCGGUUCCUCGCCAGUUGGACGGCAUUCAGGCGCAACCCCGGCGCGCACCGAGUACUUCCUUGGCUAUAACCUCCCUCGAAAUUUAGUUCAUAUGAAAGAAAAGAAAGGCAUACAGUACCUGGCAUUGACAUUGGGAGCAUGGGCUACUGCUCGCACCUCUACCUACAGGUUACAGGUUCCUUCCUUUCUCUAUAUGGUGGCCUGCGAAGGAAGAUUUUUGUUAACUCAUUCAGGUGUUGUCAAAUGCUCCAGAAUUUUAUUAACUCAUAUGAGUGUUGUCAAAUGCUCUAGAUAUUAUAUAGUCAGUUCUAAAGGGUGUUGUUUGGGUGAUUUAGUUGGAGAAAAUAAUCUCUACCUACAGGGUGUUGGCUCUAGAUAUUAUUGCUGGGCAUUGAUUGCCAAUAGAAAUUCUCUCCUAGAAUGUUUGUAAAAACAAGGGUGCAGUGAGGCUCAACUAAAGGAAUGCCUGGAAAGUUGCAUACUCUGUGAACCAUGUAUGUCCUGUGUUUAUCCAACAUUUGGUUCUAUAUUUUCAACUUUUGUGUAUACUUGAGAAAAGGAGGAAAAACUACAGUUCAAAGCCUUUUAUAAAAUGCAUGUCACUUUAUUUUCUAAGAUAUAAAAAUUACUUGAAUUAUCUGUAGCAUACUUCUCUGUCAUCCAAUAUAGGUCUCCCAGGCGAUCUAAAUAAAUAUCAAGGAUAUAAUUAGGCACACAUGUCACUUUCAUUCUUAACCUGUAUGAAGAAAUAAGAAAACCUGUAUUAGCAAAAUCGUUUAAUAUUGUUAGUCGAGCAGUACACAUGUAUGAACAAAAAAGGGACAUGUAUGAACAGAAUCGUUCAAUAGUUUUAGUCGAGCAGUAUAUAGAAAAACCGGCCCAAAUGCAUAUGGAGUAUUCAAGCUGAACAAGCCAAUUGGAUGGUAGAAUAUGCUAUCAGGCUUAAAGUUUAUAUUGAUUGAAGAGAAAAUAUAGAAAAGUAAGGGCUGAAGGUAAAUAGAAAUAUAGGAUACUACCAUGCAUGUGUUUAACUAAACAACAAGCAUUCAUUUGUGCACUUCCUCAUCUAAAAUAAUCAUAUCAUUUCUAUUAUCCUUUAUCUCACUGUGCCAGUCAGUGGUCCUGCUAUCUGAACUUCAUUGCUCUUAUUUUGGUUCAUUUCUUUGCAACAGUUUAUUCCUAUUGUAGCCUUCAAUCAGUUUUAGCCUUGAAUCAUUCUGUAUCUUUAGCCUUUAAUCAGUUUGCAUUUCCCCCUUAUUUUGAUACAUUGCUCUACGACAGUUUAUUCUGAUUGUGUUACAGGUACUUUAAUUUUAAGUGCAUGCUUACAGAGUUCUAUCAUGCACAAUCAUGUAUGCACACCGGUCUAUCCAGAAGAUUAGGUCGCGGCCCUCUCUGCCCGGGCCGCCAGCUUCCCGGAGGGCCGCAUCCGGCCUGCCGCAAGUACACCUAAGCUGCCGCCUCCCCGGGGGCUGCAAUUGGAAGUGGAUGACCAAGGAGAAGGUGCACGGUGGGGGCCAGGCGCUUAAGUGGGAGGCGGAGCUCGCCUCCCCCAACGACGACGGCUUCGAUCUCAAGUGAAAGUGGGAUGCCAAGUCCAAGCCCGUCGCUGCCGGCAAGACUAAAACCAAGUGGGGCACCGAGGAAGCCAGCAAGGAUGAGAAGAGGCCGACAGUGCGUCCAGAGCAAGGAGAUCCCUGCUGGCUGAGACGUCCAGAUCGAAGUACUUAGCAGAAAAGAUGAGAUUUUUGUGGGGGUUUGGCCCCGAUUUGAAUGAAAUGUAGGAUUUUCAGUACUCCAGUAGCAUACUCCAGUACUUCUUUUAACUAUAUCUGAUUAUAGAUAUUUUAUAUAGUAUCAUAUACUGUUAAGAAACAAUUUUGCUUUUUUGCUUCACAUUGAUGUGGUGGUGUUUUGUCAUAUUUUUAUACCAUGUCUUGAGGAUUUUCAGUUC